UACAGAGGGUGCAAGCGUUAAUCGGAAUUACUGGGCGUAAAGCGCGCGUAGGUGGAUAAGUAAGUUGGAUGUGAAAGCCCCGGGCUUAACCUGGGAACUGCAUUCAAAACUGCUUUUCUAGAGUAUAGUAGAGGGGAGUGGAAUUUCCGGUGUAGCGGUGAAAUGCGUAGAUAUCGGAAGGAACACCAGUGGCGAAGGCGACUCCCUGGACUAAUACUGACACUGAGGUGCGAAAGCGUGGGGAGCAAACAGG
rnacentral:rRNA from 1 species